rnacentral:rRNA from 1 species
UAGGGAAUCUUCCACAAUGGGCGAAAGCCUGAUGGAGCAACGCCGCGUGUGUGAUGAAGGCUUUCGGGUCGUAAAGCACUGUUGUAUGGGAAGAACAGCUAGAAUAGGAAAUAAUUUUAGUUUGACGGUACCAUACCAGAAAGGGACGGCUAAAUACGUGCCAG